rnacentral:ribozyme from 1 species
UACCCAGCAAUUCUUAUCCCUACCUUCUCGUGGUACUGGCCGGGGUACGAGGGAAGAUCGGAUUACACACCUUGGUCGCAUGCUGACAGGGUUUG